rnacentral:snRNA from 1 species
UUACUUUGUUUUCCCUUCAAAUCAUAAAUCUUUCGUCUUUUACUAAAGAUUUCCGUGAAGAAGAACAGUUGACGCGUUUAUGAGACAGUAAUAUUCAUUUACGUCCACCUUUGCGAGUA